rnacentral:sRNA from 1 species
AUAUGAGUUUUAAAUCGAGUUCUAAUGUUCAAGAAGGAGUAAGUGGGAACCGUGGCUUUCCUUCAAAAUCACUGCGAGAGAGAUGUCGUCAUCCACACAUCAAGUUCGAAGAAGAACCCAGGAAGACCCUUCUUCCGUUGUCCAACAUAUCAAGAUGUAAGUCGAUUUCAAUCUGUUAUUUUGGUGUUUGAUCCGUAAAACAUUGUUGAUUCUUUUAUGCAGGAACAUUUGUUUAAG